GGCUCAGUAACGCGUAGUCAACCUACCCUAUGGACGGGGAUAACCUCGGGAAACUGAGUAUAAUACCCGAUAGAACAUUAUGCCUGGAAUGGUUUAUGUUCCAAAUGAUUUAUUGCCAUAGGAUGGGACUGCGGCCUAUCAGUUUGUUGGUGAGGUAAUGGCCCACCAAGACUAUUACAGGUACGGGCUCUGAGAGGAGUGGCCCGGAGAUGGGUACUGAGACACGGACCCAGGCCCUAUGGGGCGCAGCAGGCGAGAAAACUUUGCAAUGUGCGAAAGCACGACAAGGUUAAUCCGAGUGGUUUCUGCUAAAGGAAUCUUUUGACAGUCCUAAAAACACUGUUGAAUAAGGGGUGGGCAAGUUCUGGUGUCAGCCGCCGCGGUAAAACCAGCACCUCAAGUGGUCAGGAUGAUUAUUGGGCCUAAAGCAUCCGUAGCCGGCUCUGUAAGUUUUCGGUUAAAUCUGUACGCUCAACGUACGGGCUGC
rnacentral:rRNA from 1 species